GACGAACGCUGGCGGCGUGCUUAACACAUGCAAGUCGAGCGGAAAGGCCACUUCGGUGGUACUCGAGCGGCGAACGGGUGAGUAACACGUGAGUAAUCUGCCCUGGACUUUGGGAUAGCCACCGGAAACGGUGAUUAAUACCGGAUACGACGACUCCACGCAUGUGGUGGUUGGGGAAAGUUUUUCGGUUCAGGAUGUGCUCGCGGCCUAUCAGCUUGAUGGUGGGGUAAUGGCCUACCAUGGCUUCGACGGGUAGCCGGCCUGAGAGGGUGACCGGCCACACUGGGACUGAGACACGGCCAGACUCCUACGGGAGGCGGCAGUGAGGAAUAUUGGACAAUGGGCGGAAGCCUGAUCCAGCAACGCCGCGUGAGGUAUGACGGCCUUCGGGUUGUAAACCUCUUUCAGCACAGACGAAGCGCAAGUGGCGGUAUGUGCAGAAGAAGGACCGGCCAACUACGUGCCAGCCGCCGCGGUAACAC
rnacentral:rRNA from 1 species